rnacentral:tRNA from 1 species
UGGGGGUGUAGCUCAGUUGGGAGAGCACCUGCCUUGCAAGCAGGGGGUCGAGAGUUCGAAUCUCUUCAUCUCCAU